AUGGAAUACCGGGUGGAUGCUGCUGUUUGGGGGAAGUUGCAGUCGAUAUGCCAGCGUGCCGAUGCGUUCUGUCACCAAGAAUGGACCGAAGAACUUGUAGGCGAGUUUCUUGCAUGGGUGAUUGGCGACGGAGGACUGUGCAUACGGCUGCAGCUUGAGAAGGACCUGUUCGCCAACAUCGAAGGCUCAUUCCGCUCGGUGUCGAUCUGCUUGUUUCUUGAAGCGAGCUUGGGCACACGCCAGCUGGGCACGCAGCAGGUCAGUGUGAGCAGCCCAGUCCAGAUCGCCAGACGCCGCGUCGCCGGGGAGCGCGGUGCUCAGGUGAGGUAA
rnacentral:rRNA from 1 species